rnacentral:rRNA from 1 species
GACGAACGCUGGCGGCGUGCCUAAUACAUGCAAGUAGAACGCAGUUGCGAACGGGUGAGUAACGCGUAGGUAACUGCCUCAUAGCGGGGGGUAACUAUUGGAAACGAUAGCUAAUACCACAUACUGUGAGAUGAACCGUCGUUGUAUUAGCUAGUGGGUAAGGUAACGGCUCACCAAGGCGACGAUACAUAGCCGACCUGAGAGGGUGAUCUGCCACACUGGGAAUGAGACACGGCCCAGAUUCCUACGGGAGGCAGCAGUAGGGACUUUGCGGCAAUGGACGGAAGUCUGACCGAGCAACGCCGCGUGAGUGAAGAAGGUUUUCGGAUCGUAAAGCUCUGUUGUUAGAGAAGCGGUAACUAAACAGAAAGGGACGGCUAACUACGUGCCAGCAGCCGCGGUAAUUC